GACGAACGCUGGCGGCGUGGAUUAGGCAUGCAAGUCGAACGGUAUCAUCCUUUCGGGGGUGAGAGAGUGGCGAACUGGUGAGUAACACGUAGGUUAUCUACCCUCAAGACGGGGACAACCCAGGGAAACUUGGGCUAAUACCGGAUGUGAGCAACUUUUAGUUGUUUGAAAGGUGGCGUAAGCUGUCGCUUGGGGAUGAGCCUGCGUCCUAUUAGUUAGUUGGUGAGGUAACGGCUCACCUAGGCAAUGAUAGGUAGGCGGCCUUAACGGGUGGUCGCCCACACUGGGAUUGAGAUACGGCCCAGACUCCUACGGGAGGCAGCAGUCGAGAAUAGUCUACAAUGGUCGGAAGACUGAUAGUGCGACGCCGCGUGAACGAUGAAUCCCUUCGGGGUGUAAAGUUCUUUUAUAUGUGAGCAGUGCUUCUUAUAUUAACAGUAUGGGGAGAGAGAUAUUAGCAUAUGAAUAAAGCAACGGCUAACUCCGUGCCAGCAGCCCGCGGUAAACACGG
rnacentral:rRNA from 1 species